GUCGAGCGACCCUUCGGGGUGAGCGGCGGACGGGUGAGUAACGCGUGGGUAACCUGCCCUGUACACACGGAUAACAUACCGAAAGGUAUGCUAAUACGGGAUAAAGUAAGAGAGUCGCAUGGCUUUUUUAUCAAAGCUCCGGCGGUACAGGAUGGACCCGCGUCUGAUUAGCUAGUUGGUAAGGUAAUGGCUUACCAAGGCGACGAUCAGUAGCCGACCUGAGAGGGUGAUCGGCCACAUUGGAACUGAGACACGGUCCAAACUCCUACGGGAGGCAGCAGUGGGGAAUAUUGCACAAUGGGCGAAAGCCUGAUGCAGCAACGCCGCGUGAGCGAUGAAGGCCUUCGGGUCGUAAAGCUCUGUCCUCAAGGAAGAUAAUGACGGUACUUGAGGAGGAAGCCCCGGCUAACUACGUGCCAGCAGCCGCGGUAAUACGUAGGGGGCUAGCGUUAUCCGGAAUUACUGGGCGUAAAGGGUGCGUAGGUGGUUUUUUAAGUCAGAAGUGAAAGGCUACGGCUCAACCGUAGUAAGCUUUUGAAACUGGAGAACUUGAGUGCAGGAGAGGAAAGUGGAAUUCCUAGUGUAGCGGUGAAAUGCGUAGAUAUUAGGAGGAACACCAGUUGCGAAAGCGGCUUUCUGGACUGUAACUGACACUGA
rnacentral:rRNA from 1 species